UGGUUAAGUUAGAAAGGGCGCACGGUGAAUGCCUUGGCACUAGGAGCCGAUGAAGGACGGGACUAACACCGAUAUGCUUCGGGGAGCUGUAAGUGAGCUUUGAUCCGGAGAUUUCCGAAUGGGGAAACCCACUGUUCGUAAUGGAACAGUAUCUUUAUCUGAAUACAUAGGAUAUUGAAGGCAGACCCGGGGAACUGAAACAUCUAAGUACCCGGAGGAAGAGAAAGCAAAUGCGAUUUCCUGAGUAGCGGCGAGCGAAACGGAAUUAGCCCAAACCAAGAGGCUUGCCUCUUGGGGUUGUAGGACACUCUAUACGGAGUUACAAAGGAACGAAGUAAAUGA
rnacentral:rRNA from 1 species